rnacentral:rRNA from 1 species
UACAGAGGGGGCAAGCGUUGUUCGGAAUUACUGGGCGUAAAGGGCGCGUAGGCGGCCUGCUAAGUCGAACGUGAAAUCCCUGGGCUCAACCCAGGAACUGCGUCCGAUACUGGUUGGCUUGAAUCCGGGAGAGGGAUGUGGAAUUCCAGGUGUAACGGUGAAAUGCGUAGAUAUCUGGAGGAACACCGGUGGCGAAGGCGACAUCCUGGACCGGCAUUGACGCUGAGGCGCGAAAGCCAGGGGAGCAAACGGG